GACAGAGGUCCCGAGCGUUAGGCGGAAUCACUGGGCUUAAAGCGUGUGUAGGCGGACUUCUAAGUACCUUGUGAAAUCCCGCGGCUUAACCGUGGAACGGCUGGGUAUACUGGUUGUCUUGGGCCACUUAGGGGCUACUGGAACAAACGGUGGAGCGGUGAAAUGCGUAGAUAUCGUUUGGAACGCCAAUGGUGAAAACAAGUAGCUGGGAGUGUGCCGACGCUGAGACACGAAAGCCAGGGGAGCGAACGGG
rnacentral:rRNA from 1 species